rnacentral:rRNA from 1 species
UGGCGGACGGGUGAGUAACGCGUGGAAAACCUGCCGUAUACUGGGGGAUAACACUUAGAAAUAGGUGCUAAUACCCGCAUAAGCGCACAGCUUCGCAUGAAGCGGUGUGAAAAACUCUGGUGGUAUACGAUGGUUCCGCGUCUGAUUAGCUAGUUGGUGGGGUAAUGGCCUACCAAGGCAACGAUCAGUAGCCGGCCUGAGAGGGUGAACGGCCACAUUGGGACUGAGACACGGCCCAAACUCCUACGGAAGGCAGCAG